UAACACCGGUUUCCGUACGAUCACCGAAGUUAAGCAACGUCGAUCCUGAUCAGUACCUAGAUGGGUUACCAUUUAGGAAUACCAGUUGCUGUAAG